AGCUUGCUCCCUGAGAUUAGCGGCGGACGGGUGAGUAACACGUGGGCAACCUGCCUAUAAGACUGGGAUAACUUCGGGAAACCGGAGCUAAUACCGGAUACGUUCUUUUCUCGCAUGAGAGAAGAUGGAAAGACGGUUUACGCUGUCACUUAUAGAUGGGCCCGCGGCGCAUUAGCUAGUUGGUGAGGUAAUGGCUCACCAAGGCGACGAUGCGUAGCCGACCUGAGAGGGUGAUCGGCCACACUGGGACUGAGACACGGCCCAGACUCCUACGGGAGGCAGCAGUAGGGAAUCUUCCGCAAUGGACGAAAGUCUGACGGAGCAACGCCGCGUGAACGAAGAAGGCCUUCGGGUCGUAAAGUUCUGUUGUUAGGGAAGAACAAGUACCAGAGUAACUGCUGGUACCUUGACGGUACCUAACCAGAAAGCCACGGCUAACUACGUGCCAGCAGCCGCGGUAAUACGUAGGUGGCAAGCGUUGUCCGGAAUUAUUGGGCGUAAAGCGCGCGCAGGUGGUUCCUUAAGUCUGAUGUGAAAGCCCACGGCUCAACCGUGGAGGGUCAUUGGAAACUGGGGAACUUGAGUGCAGAAGAGGAAAGUGGAAUUCCAAGUGUAGCGGUGAAAUGCGUAGAGAUUUGGAGGAACACCAGUGGCGAAGGCGACUUUCUGGUCUGUAACUGACACUGAGGCGCGAAAGCGUGGGGAGCAAACAGGAUUAGAUACCCUGGUAGUCCACGCCGUAAACGAUGAGUGCUAAGUGUUAGAGGGUUUCCGCCCUUUAGUGCUGCAGCUAACGCAUUAAGCACUCCGCCUGGGGAGUACGGCCGCAAGGCUGAAACUCAAAAGGAAUUGACGGGGGGCCCGCACAAGCGGGUGGAGCAUGUGGGUUUAAUUCGAAGCAACCCCGAAGAACCUUACCAGGGCUUGGCAUCCUCCUGACAACCCUAAAAGAAAGGGGUUUUCCCCUUUCGGGGGACAAAAAUGACAGGUGGGUGCAUUGGUUGUCC
rnacentral:rRNA from 1 species